rnacentral:lncRNA from 1 species
UUGAGAUUGGGUAGUUGGGAUAUCGUGGAAUAAAUAGAAAACUACUUUAAUCUCAUCUUAAUUUGAUAUCGUCUCCUUCGUUUUUUUUGUUUCCAAUUUCUCUGUCUGAUUCUUUUAUACGAAAUUUUCAGUUUUUAUCGAAGUUUAUUGAGUACCCAUGAUUCAAAGUUUCAAUUUUUAUGCGAAUGAUUCCUCAAUUUGAUGUUCUGUUGAUUUCUAGGGUUUGUGUGAGUUUGGGUGUUCUUGUGUAAUCGUUUUGAUGGGUCUUUAGUGAUGAUUUUGCACGUAUUGUUUUGAGGAUUUGUAUAGACUUCCAAUGCAUAUUGAAAGGACUUUGCUUUUUUGAAGGGUGAGUUUGAUAGGUUGAGUUUGAUAGGUUGCGCAUUCCGUUAGCUUUUAUGAAGAAGAAGAACAGAUCAGUAGGGAGAAGAGCUAAGGUGGGAGUUAAAAGUGGCUAAGAAGAAGUUAAAAGAAGAAGGAGUGCCUCCGCUUCUAAGAGAGGGUUUCUAUGAUUCAAUAAUGAGUAAUGUUAUGUCGUUUUACAAUUCUCCUAAUGUUUCCCUAAACUAUGAUAUAUUUAAAGGAUGAUCCCAUCUUAGGGUAUCCUUAUCUUAUAAAUGAACAGUAAUUUCCAUCUCUUUCCUUAAACGGCUGAAAGGUCUAUUCUAUCUCUUAAUCUUAUCUUAUUUCUCUUCUUCUCUUAUCUUCCUCACUCUCGACUUAACAAAUUGGUGCUUUCAUUGAGAGCUAUGGCGUCAACCCCACCACUUCCAGAUCAACGCACUAAUCGAUCUGAACUCGAGUCUCAUGCGUCUGACACACCACUUCCGACGGAGACGCAAGAACAGAUCAUGGCGCGUCACGACAAGGACAUCCAGUGGAUGCGCGAAUCGAUUAACUAUUUGGUGGAGUCGAUGCGGUCCUUUCGUCCACUUGAGAGCCGUUCCACAACACCGGUGGGUUUCUCGACUCCGGUUUCCGGGACGAACAACCACGUUCCGGUGACACCAACGCCGGUGACACCAGCGCCUGUCGUUGAAGAGCAGACUCGACAGGAGCGCACCAUGCCCUUUCCUCCCCAACGACCGUCGGAUGGCUUGCUUCCGUCGCCGGUCCUACCGCAGCGAGUCGAAUUGCCCCGCCAGAUGGGGGAGAUGACUUUUAAGCGUGUCGAUCUACCGUCGUGUGAUGGCACAAACCAAGACGAUUGGCUGUUUCGAGCAGAGAGGGUCUUCGCGAUGAACCAGACCCAUGAGUUUGAAAAGCUAGAUCUUGCCGUGGCUAGUCUCGUCGGAGCUGCAGUUACCUGGUGGCGCAACGUUCACGUGCAUCAUCAACUGGCAGAUCUUCAGAGAGAGGUUUCAGGUUCGAUUUAAACCAAGUCGUGGGAGUUCUUCUGUAGACCAUCUGAUGCAAAUCACCCAGACAGGUAGUGUGGAUGAUUAUAGAGGGCGAUUCGAGCAGUUAUCCGUGGAGUUACCUCAUGUCACUGAUGACGUGUUAGAAGCGGCUUUCCUUCGUGGACUGAAGCAAACAAUACAUGACCAAGUGUUGCGUUGCAGACCGAGGGAUUUAACAGAGAUUGUGGACUUUGCGAGACUCAUUGAAUCUCAGGAGAACGCAACCAAUACUUACCAAGCUAGACCUCCUCCGAGGCCAGCUCAGACACCGGUGUUCUCUCAGCCUAGCCGACCACCUAAUCAGUCUUAUUCCAGGAGUAAUGACUACAAGAAACCAUCGGGCAGUGGGGAAGCUCGCAAUUUUAACCCGUGAAGGCAAUGUGGUGAUAAAUGGUCUCCGGGUCAUAGGUGUAAACAGCGGUUUAAAUUGAUGGAGGUAGACGAUUGUGAGGAGUUUGAUGAUGCAUAUGAGGAUGAACAAGAGAUGCAGGAGAGAGAGAAUCAGAAAGCCAGCAAGCAAGAAGUGGUGACUCUGCAUUCUAUGGGUGGUAUUACAGCUGAGAAGUCCAUGAUGAUGAAGGGAAAGAUUGGCAACAGAGAAGUAGUCAUUCUGAUCGAUUCUGGGGCCACUUCUAACUUCAUGUCAGAAAGGGUAGUAGCGGAGUUGGGUCUAUCUGCCACAGCAACCAGAAAUGUUAGUGUCAGGCUUGCUAAUGGGCAGAUCAGCAAUAGCACAUGGAAAUGUUCUGGAGAGUUAUUGGAGGUACAAGGAGUGGAAAUCAUGGAAGAGUUUUUGUUGUUUGAUUUGGAUGACUUGGAUAUAGUGCUGGGAUAUACUUGGUUGGAAACCUUGGGGGAGACAAAAACCAACUGGAAGCUAUUCAGACUGAGUUGGAAGAUACGUGACAAAUGGGUAACUAUUAGAGGGGAUCCAAGCUUGGUGCAAAGGGCGGAUUUCACUCAGUGCAAUGAGGAGAGUAAUCCGCAGAAAGGGGGAAGUGUAUCUCCUGGAACUAAAGACCUUGUUUGAAGAAGAAGGACAAGUCGAAGAGCUGAAGGGACCUGUUGAGGUUCAACAACUUCUUACUCAGUUUCCAACAGUCUUCCAGACCCCACAGGGACUACCACCAGUGCGAAACAAAGAACAUGCGAUUACACUACAUGAGGGGACCUCACCGAUCAAUAUCAGGCCCUAUCGCUACUCUUUUGUCCAGAAAAACGAGAUAGAGAAGUUGGUUCAGGAAAUGUUGGAUGCAGGAAUUAUCAAGCCUAGUAUCAGCCCCUACUCCAGCCUUGUCCUGCUAGUGAAAAAGAAAGAUGGAGGCUGGAGAUUUUGAGUUGACUACAGGGCCCUGAAUCAAGUGACAAUUCCAGAUAGGUACCCCAUUCCCAUUAUAGAAGAGUUGUUAGACGAGUUGAAGGGAGCGACGAUCUUCUCUAAAAUCGAUCUCAAGUCCGGGUACCAUCAAAUCAGGGUAAAGGAAGGCGAUGUGGAGAAAACUGCUUUCAAGACACACCAAGGACACUAUGAAUUCUUGGUCAUGCCAUUCGGAUUGACUAACGCUCCGUCAACCUUUCAAUCCAUCAUGAAUGACCUAUUCAGACCCUAUUUAAGGAGGUUUGUGCUGGUGUUUUUCGACGAUAUUUUGGUCUAUAGCCCUGAUUUGGAGACGCACAUUCACCACUUAAGGCUGGUAUUGGAGAUUAUGAGCAAGCAACACUUCUAUGCCAACAAAAAGAAAUGUUCAUUUGGUAGUAAGCGAAUAGCUUACUUAGGGCACAUCAUUUCAGGUGAAGGAGUUGCUGCAGACCCUGACAAGAUCAAAGCUAUGGUGAAAUGGCCAGUUCCUCAGAGCGUGACUGAACUAAGAGGGUUCUUGGGGCUGAUUGGUUAUUAUAGGAAAUUUGUGCGUAAUUAUGGACAGAUCGCAAGACCUCUCACUGACCUUCUCAAGAAAAAUGGGUUCUGUUGGUCCACUGCAGCAGAGGAGGCGUUCCAAGAAUUGAAAGGAGCAGUGACUAGUCUCCCAGUGCUGAAGUUACCAGACUUUGAUCAGGAGUUCACAGUGGAGACUGAUGCUUCAGGGCUGGGGAUUGGAGCAGUUUUAUCUCAAGGUAAGCGACCUAUUGCCUUCUUGAGUCAAGCCUUUUCAUCAUCAGGCCGAAUCAAAUCUGUGUAUGAGAGGGAGCUCCUUGCCAUAGUUAAGGCGGUUACUAAGUGGAAGCACUACUUAGCGGGGAAGGAGUUUGUUAUUAAAACAGAUCAAAGUAGUCUCAAGCAUUUGUUGGAUCAAAAAGGGGUCUCCUCAGUCCAGCAACGAUGGGCAUCAAAGUUGAUAGGUCUCAAAUACCGGAUAGAGUACAAGCCAGGAGUUGAGAAUCGGGUGGCGGAUGCUCUAUCCAGAAGACCGCAUGAUGAGAAGCUCAGCCUGAUAAGCGCACAUUCACCAUUAAAUUUUGAUAAGGAGGAGUUAGCAAGUCAGCUGAGAAAAGAUGUUGAGUUAGCAGCCAUAAUCAAGGAUUGUGAAACGAGGCAACCAAACCAACAGGGGUACAUCAUGGAAGGAGGGUUGCUUUACAAGGAAGGGCGGUUGGUAAUUCCUCAGGGAUCUCCCAUCAUUCAGACCUUGCUGGAACAGUUCCAUAACAGUGCAGUUGGGGGUCAUGAAGGGGCCUUGAAGACUUAUAAAAGGUUAUCAUAAGAGGUGUUUUGGAAAGGAAUGAGGAGAGAUGUGACAAAGUACAUCAUUAAGUGUCAGAUCUGCCAAGAAAAUAAGCAGGCCACACUGUCUCCCGCAGGGUUGCUCUCACCCCUACCAAUACCGCCAUAGAUUUAGUCCCACAUAAGCAUGGAUUUCAUAGAAGGGUUGCCACCUUCUAAAGGGUUCACGGUGAUACUGGUAGUAGUGGAUCGCCUAAGUAAGUAUGGGCAUUUCAUUUCGCUGAAGCAUCCUUUCACUGCAAGAACUGUGGCUAAAUCAUUCAUCAAGGAGGUGGUAAGACAUCAUGGCUUCCCAGAGAACAUAGUCUCCGACAGAGAUAAAGUGUUCAUAAGCAGUUUUUGGACAGAAUUAUUCAAGAGCCAGGGAACCACUCUCCACAAGAGUUCAGCCUACCAUCCGCAAACUGAUGGGCAGAUAGAGGUAGUCAACCGGUGUUUGGAAACAUACUUGAUAGCAGGAAGCCAGCAACUUGGGUUCAAUGGCCACCCAGGGCUGUAUAUUGGUAUAAUUCUUCUUACCACUCCACCAUCAAGACCACCCCUUUCUUUGCUGUGUAUGGAAGAGAACCUCCUAAGAUUUUACGAUAUGGGGAUGUGCCAACAGCAAAUGUAAUAGUAGAAGAACUGCUAAAGGACAGAGAUAGUUUGUUGGUAGAGUUAAAAGAGAACAUGGAACUCGCUCAGACUAUGAUGCAGAAAUCCGCCAACAAACAUAGAAGAGAUGUAGAAUUUAAGGUCGGUAAUUGGGUGUACUUGAAGCUGCGACCUUAUAGGCAGAACUCAGUGGUUAACAGAAGGAAUGAGAAGUUAGCACAGAGGUACUUUGGCCCUUAUCAGAUCCUGGAACGCAGAGGGAAGGUAGCUUACAAGCUUCAGCUACCUCUUUACAGUCAGAUACAUCCUAUAUUUCAUGUCUCUCAGCUUAAAGCUGUUGUUCCUUCUGGACGACAAGCUCAGGAGAUCCCAGCCAUCCUGUCUCCUACUUUAGAAUGGGCAGUAGAACCUGAAAAGAUACUUGAUGUGCGUCGCCCUCCUCAGGGAAAUGAAACAGAGGUCAGAAUCCAGUGGAAAGGCUUACCUGAAUUUGAGUCUACUUGGGAACCAGUCACAGUGAUAAUGGAUCAGUUUCCGGAUUUCGACCUUGAGGACAAGGUCAGUUCUCUAACCGGGGGUAUUGAUAGGUUGCGCAUUCUGUUAGCUUUUAUGAAGAAGAAGAACAGAUCAGUAGGGAGAAGAGCUAAGGUGGGAGUUAAAAGUGGCUAAGAAGAAGUUAAAAGAAGAAGGAGUGCCUCCGCUUCUAAGAGAGGGUUUCUGUGAUUCAAUAAUGAGUAAUGUUAUGUCGUUUUACAAUUCUCCUAAUGUUGC